rnacentral:lncRNA from 10 species
GGUUGGUCUCGAUCUCCUGGCCUCAAGCGAUCCUCCCAUCUUGGCCUCCCAAAGUGCUGGGAUGACCAAUGUGAGCCAGCACCAUUGGCACCUCUCAACCAGGCCCUCUCUCAUCAAAUAGUUAACCUGCCUCCCAAGCCUACUCAGAUAUCACUGCGGCCAGAACCAAUGAGAUGGAUGGAUGGAUGUCAACAGGGCACUUCACAACAAAGGAAUGUGGCCUACAGCACAACUCACCCCAGCCCAGCCCUCCUAGCAGGUAGAUUGCCCAGCCCUUGGGCAAUCCCAGGCUGCUCUGCAACACAGAUGACCUCUUGAGGGACUUGCCUCCUGUUACCUGCUGAGCAGCGAGUCCCACACCUAAGUGAGGUGGAGGAGAGGCACCACCAUCAGUCCUCAUGAAUCACUGGCCAGGCUCCUUCUCUUUGUCCCUCCCCAACAAAUGCCAAGCAUCUGCACUAAAGCAAGACUCUGGCUUGACCCCAGCCUCAAAGGGAAAAUGGGGUUUGCACAUGGACUUUCGGCUCCAUUCAUGAAAGCAUAGAUACGUGUGAUUAUAACAAGGAUAUGAGCUUGGAUGCAGCAGGCUGUUAAACACCAUGCCAGGAGGACGCCACUCCAUUUAACCCCUGAGGCCACUGUGGGGCCAGCUGUGAGUCAGGCUUUGACCUUGGCCACCUUCCUAAUUUAGAGUGGCAGCUGCCCACCCAAAUUAGCUGCCCCACGUUCAGCCUCAGCUCUGCUGUUCAAAUGCCUCUAUCUACUUAGGUUCUUUGGAAAACAAUUCUGAGGUUGUUUUCUUUUCUUUUUUGUUUUUUGUUUGUUUGUUUUUGUUUUGUUUUGAGGCAAGGUCUCACUCUGUCGCCCAGGCUGGAGUGCAGUGACAUGAUCUCAGCUCACUGCAGCCUUGACCUCCCAGUCUCAAACAAUCUUUCCACCUCUCAGCCUCCUGAGUAGCUGGGGGAGUACAGGUGUGCACCACCAUGACUGGCUAAUUUUUUCCAUUUUUGUAGAGAAAAGUUUUGCCAUGUUGCUCAGGCUGGUCUCGAACUCCUGGACUCAAGCUAUCAAUCCACCCACCUUGGUCUCCCAAAGUGCUGGGAUUACAGGCAUGAGCCAUUGCACCUGGCUUGUUUUCUUGUUUAACUGUUUUUAAGCCAUAUAUGUUCAAACAGUGCAAACUAUGGUGAAAAGUAAGUCUCCCUCUCACCCUUAACCUCCGUCCUCUGCCUCCCUCCUCUGAGGGAAUCAUUGCCACCAGUGGCUGGAGGGUCCUUCCCCAGAAUAGUCCCCACAUACAAGCCCACACCCCAAAAUGCCCGCUUCCCCCACCAUGGGAGUCCAGAGCACAGUUCACAUGCUAUCCUGUGCUUUGCUUUUCACACUUCACCCUGUUGGAAAGCUCUCCACGUCAUGCAUACACACUUGUCCUUCUAUGGUUGUACUUUUUUCAAAGAGUGGACCCAACUGAUUGAACCAGUUCCCUAUUAACAGGUAAUCGAGUUAUUUCUAGUCUUUUGUGACCACCAUACUUCCAAGAAUGCCCUUAUACCUAGAUCUUUUAUCUCAUUAAAGGUGGUAGUGACUAUUCCUAAAAGUGGAACUGCCAGUGUUUUUAAAUGUUUAAAUUUAAAUUUAAACAUUAAAAAAUAUUGGGUUAGGAACCACCACUCUUUUGAAAAUUUCACGUAAAAUACCAGUUCUUUCUCGAGAAACAAACAAAACAAAACAAAAUAAACUAUGUGAUGAUUUUGCAUUCAGUUACUAGAGGGAGGCUCAUAGAUGGCACAUUAAGAAGUCUUGGUAGAGAGGAAGAGAACAGGUGCAGGAAAAUUGUAUCCGACCCUCACUUCCCUGUGUGCAUAAGUGUUUUGAUUUGGUCAUCACAGAGGAAGCUGACAGUUUGUUCUGCUGAGACACACAGUGGAGUUCAGUUCUGAUUCCAAAAGUCAGAUUCCUGAUCAUAUUCUGCCACUAGAGUACAUACCUCUCACCGUGGUCAUACUCUGGACCUCGGACUCCCAGAAUGUGGCUGCUGAGCAGAAGUGCGUCUGGGGCUGCUCCACACGGUGCUGCGCUGGGACACUGGGGCCUGCUGCAGACCCUCCCUGCAGCUGCUGCCUUGGGACUGUGAAACCAGAGUCUGCUAGGAAGGCUCUGCAACUCACACGCUCAGUUAGGCUUUAAUAUUUUAUGCCAGCUGCCAAUAAGGACUCAGGUGACAAGAGUCACUUCAGGAAAGGAGCGUGCAGAAAGCAUGGACCCCGUCAUCUCUCAUUCAGGGUCCGCAUCAGACUAAAGCGAUCCCACAAGAGAAAAGCUAAAAGGAAGCAGAGCCGUGAACAGCCUGUGGCUGGUGGGAGCCUGGCGUCAGCGAGCUCAGGGUCUCACUUCAGUGACUUGGCAGCCAGUAGCUUCCCUUGGGCCAUGGCCACAGGCCACAUCUCAGUGUCUGGUUGGCUCUACGUCCAAGGCCACUGCCGGCUGCAGAGACGUGGUGAGGGCUGAGGCCAGACAGCUGAGGGCCCUGGCUGACCUGCUGGCCCAUUCACCUGAACAAGGUUCACCCAGGGCAGUUUCCACAAAUCCGGAGCAGAGCCAGAGAGCCAGCCCAUGCCUGGCACAGAGGAGACGCUCAACACCUGUCAUCCCUUCCCUUCUCCUGCCUGUCCCUCAGAGUUCCUGGAGCUUCCGUUCUGCUGAGCCUCAUGCUGCCCAUGCGACACAUCACGACCAUUUUCAGGACCACAACCUCCCUGUCCCAUGGCCGUUUUCUGAGGUCUAGAAGUCACCCCCUUGGGCUUAAGCAACCACGAGGCCAUGGAUGGUCACAAAUUUCCCUGGGCUGCACUCCACAAACCCUCCAGUGGGCACAGCACGUGUCUCUCACAUUUUGGAGAGAAAGGAACUGAGAACUCCCAUUUCUGGAACCCCAUGCCAGUUCUAGAAGGUUCCAUCCUGAAGAUGAAAGCUGAUUUGUCAUCUGUGGUGUGUCCCAAGAAAAGAAAAAUACCUCAUUUUGUACUGAGCACUAACUACACACCAGGUGCCUAUUGAAGCCUCUGAGGUACAGUCAUGGGAGAGAUGCUGCCUCUUCCCCAAAGGCACAAUAGCACCGAUAUUUGAAGAGUCAGUGAUAGACGAUUUCAUCAGAAGGUUCUGGCAACAGAAACUACCAAACGACUUAUUUUAAAAACAAAACAAAAUGGAAAAUAUUAAAAUCCAAUCAGCUCAUUGAUCACCAGGGAGAAAGAAAAUGAACAUGUGUCUCUUGUACUCAGCCUGCUCUAAAAUAUGAAACUGGAAUGUGUUUCAGAAAGCAACAAAGAUGUGAGUAUGGAAUAUUAAAGCACUAUGAUAAUUUGAUAGUACAAUUUUCCUUUGUGGAUUUCCUGUAGUGACCAAUAUUAAUAUAAUAGGAGUGAACAUCUACUGGGUACUUAUUACAUAUUAGCAUUUUCUAUGGUAUUUUAUUAGGUUACAGAACAACCCAAUGAGGAAAGUACUACUCUUGUCAGCCCUGUUUCAUAGACUAGGAACAGAGGAACCGUGAUUCACCCAAAGUUUUGAGUGAUUCACCCAAAGUUUUGUGGCUAAUAAAACUCCAUUCCAGCCCAGGCGCAGUGGCUCAUGCCUGUAAUCCCAACACUUCGGGAGGCCGAGGCAGGCAGAUCACUUGAGGUCAGGAGUUCAAGACCAGCC